rnacentral:rRNA from 1 species
CCUACGGGUGGCAGCAGUGAGGAAUAUUGGUCAAUGGGCGCGAGCCUGAACCAGCCAAGCAGCGUGAAGGAUGACUGCCCUACGGGUUGUAAACUUCUUUUAUAAAGGAAUAAAGUGAGGCACGUGUGCCUUUUUGUCUGUACUUUAUGAAUAAGGCUCGGCUAACUCCGUGCCAGCAGCCGCGGUAAUACGGAGGAUCUGAGCGUUAUCCGGAUUUAUUGGGUUUAAAGGGAGCGUAGAUGGGUUGUUAAGUCAGUUGUGAAAGUUUGCGGCUCAACCGUAAAAUUGCAAUUGAUACUGGCAGUCUUGAGUACAGUAGAGGUAGGCGGAAUUCGUGGUGUAGCGGUGAAAUGCUUAGAUAUCACGAAGAACUCCGAUUGCGAAGGCAGCUUACUAAACUGCCACUGACAUUGAUGCUCGAAAGUGUGGGGAGCAAACAGGAUUAGAUACCCCAGUAGUC